rnacentral:lncRNA from 10 species
CUUUAUACAUCAUUAUCUUGUGGGCUUUGAGUGAGUCAGCAUUUCCAGUCUAGCCAAUCCUGGUGCACUUACAACAUCAUUUCUGCACCUACAAAAUUAUGGACCAGAUUUUGGAGAGCAACAAGUUCACCAAGAGGGUCAGAACUAGAGGUGGUGGAGUGAACGCCGCACCAGGCAAUGGAAGAAGCACUGGCCUAGACCAAGCUUGAGCGUGCACCACUGUCACCUGGAGGGCUUGUUCCAACACGGAUGGCUGGACUCACCCCCAGAAUUUCAGAUUUAUUAGGUCUGCACUGGGCCCUGAGAAUGUUUAUUUAAAACAAAUUCCUGGAUGCUACUGGUUCAGUUGCCACACUCUGAGACCCGCUGGCUUUGAGCUUAGAAGAUGUGGGUUUGAUUCCUGGAUUCCACAGUUUACUAGCUGUGAGUUAGAGAAUUUAAAUUACUUACCUGAGUCUUGGUUUCUUAUUUGCAAACUGAACUGUAAACUAUUUGUUCUACCCAUUUUAUAAGACUUUUGUAAGGAUAAAAUAAAAGAAUACAUAUGCAAAUUACUGAAAAACCUGUCACUGUUGUUAUUACUAGUAUUAUUGUGAAAGAAGCUGUAGAUUUAUGUCAGCCCCAGACAGGAGUUGACAGAACCUUCGAGUUGCACAAGGCCUGCUGGAGCACUUCAGAGAAUUCCAAAUGAAUCUUGAUUGCAUUGUGGAAUGUACAGCACUGGGGCCCUGGGGACCAGCAUGGAAUGUGAGUAAAGACAAGAUAGGUUCUAUCAUCCUCCAGACCUGCAGAUGUGUGUUCAAAUCCUGACUCCAUGGGGCUUGACUCUAUCCCAUCUGGAAAAAUGGAAAUAAAAGUGCCUACCUUACUGGUUUAUUGUGAGGACUAUUUGAGAUAAUGUAUUUAAAGAACUAGCACAGUGCACGGCACAUAGUGGGCACUCACUAAAUAUUAGCUCUUAAUAUAGUUAUGAAAACUAAACCCAAUGGGGAGAAAAUGCAAGGCCAUCUUGGUAAUACAACUGUAUGUAUUAUGAGGUAGCCAGGUCUCUCAGCCCAAAAGACCAUAUUCCAGGGCCAGGCAUGGUGGCUCACGCCUGUAAUCCCAGCACUUUGGGAGGCUGAGCUGGGUGGAUGACUUCAGGCCAGGAGUUCGAGACUAGCCUGGCCAAAAUGGCAAAACCCCCAUCUUUACUAAAAAUGCAAAAAUUAGCUGGGUAUGGUGGCACACACCUGUGGUCCCAGCUACUCAGGAGGCUGAGGCAUGAUAAUUACUGGAACCUGGGAGGUGAAGGUUGCAGUAAGCUGAGAUUUUGCCACUGCACUCUAGCCUGGGUGACAGAGCAAGAAAAAAAAAAAAAGACCAUAUUCCAGUGCUGCUGCUCUGAGAGAGCAGGAGCAGUUAGACUCACUGACCUCCCACGUUGCUUCCAAAUGAGAUUUUAAUGUCAGCACAAAGCAAACGCAUCUAGUCAGUUGCCAGCAACCAGGGCUGUUUUCCCCAGACUUCCCUUAUGACUGACAGCUACACCAUUCAUUUCUUUGCUAUGACCUACCUUG